ACUUUAAUUGAAGAGUUUGAUCAUGGCUCAGAUUGAACGCUGGCGGCAGGCCUAACACAUGCAAGUCGGGCGGCAGCGGGAAGAAGCUUGCUUCUUUGCCGGCGAGCGGCGGACGGGUGAGUAAUGUCUGGGGAUCUGCCCGAUGGAGGGGGAUAACCACUGGAAACGGUGGCUAAUACCGCAUAACCUCGAGAGAGCAAAGUGGGGGACCUUCGGGCCUCACACCAUCGGAUGAACCCAGAUGGGAUUAGCUAGUAGGUGGGGUAAUGGCUCACCUAGGCGACGAUCCCUAGCUGGUCUGAGAGGAUGGCCAGCCACACUGGGACUGAGACACGGCCCAGACUCCUACGGGAGGCAGCAGUGGGGAAUAUUG
rnacentral:rRNA from 1 species